rnacentral:rRNA from 1 species
UACGGGGGGGCAAGCGUUGUUCGGAAUUACUGGGCGUAAAGGGCUCGUAGGCGGCCAACUAAGUCAGACGUGAAAUCCCUAGGCUCAACCUAGGAACUGCGUCUGAUACUGGAUGGCUUGAAUCCGGGAGAGGGAUGCAGAAUUCCAGGUGUAGCGGUGAAAUGCGUAGAUAUCUGGAGGAAUACCGGUGGCGAAGGCGGCAUCCUGGACCGGCAUUGACGCUGAGGAGCGAAAGCCAGGGGAGCAACAGG